UUUUCUUGGCGCUCUGUUUCGAUCAAAUGUUACCUGCGGUACCAUAUUUUUUAGGCGAAAAAGUGUUUAUUUACAAUGUGUAGGACUGCAAAUAGGUGUUUGAAAGUGUUUAUUUGGAUUUAGUUUUAUGCAGGACAUUUUAUUUAUAAGAAUAACCUAUAGGAAAUGUGAAAUAUGUGGUUUGAGAUCGGAGCGUAAAGAUGGCAUAAAACAUUAUUUUAUGGCUAGAUUUCCUCUAGAUGAACUUCGGUGUAAAGAAUGGGUAAAAAUGGCAGAAAUGAGAAUCUAGCUUAUUUGCCUAUUGAAAAACUUCAUCAAUGAAAAUUCGUUUGUGGAAAGCAUAUAAAAAUAACGAUUUAAAGAAAAAAGGAACACAGCUGAAGAUGUUACGUUUGACUGAAUAAAAAUUAUAAUUGUA